AAAGCUAGCCCAACUAACCCCAAACUUAAGUAUUACAGACACAUAAAAUAAAACAUUUAGUUAAACAAUAAAAGUAUAGGAGAUAGAAAUUUUAAUUGGAGCGAUAGAGACAGUACCGUAAGGGAAUGAUGAAAGACAUCUUAACAGUAUUAAACAGCAAAGAUUACCCCUUCUACCUUUUGCAUAAUGAACUAGCCAGAAACAACUUAACAAAGAGAACUUAAGCUAAGCUCCCCGAAACCAGACGAGCUACCCAUAAACAAUCUAAAAGGAUCAACUCAUCUAUGUAGCAAAAUAGUGAGAAGAUUUGUGGGUAGAGGUGAAAAGCCUAACGAGCCUGGUGAUAGCUGGUUACCCACAAACAGAAUUUUAGUUCAACUUUAAAUUUACCUAAAAAAAAUAAAAUUUUAAUGUAAAUUUAAAAUAUAGUCUAAGAAGGUACAGCUUCUUAGAAUCAGGAUACAACCUUUAUUAGAGAGUAUAUACUAAUAUCACCAUAGUUGGCUUAAAAGCAGCCACCAAUUGAGAAAGCGUUCCAGCUCAACAAACAAUAUAACUUAAUCCCAACCAUACUACAUCAACUCCUAAUUAUACCCCCUGGGUCAUUCUAUUUAAAUAUAGAACGAAUAAUGCUAGUAUGAGUAACAAGAACCACUUUCUCCUCGCAUAAGCUUAUAUCAGGAACGGAUAGACCACUGAUAGUUAACAAUCUGAUAAUAUCAACCCAAAAAUGAAAUACUUAUCCACCCCAUUGUUAACCCAACACAGGUAUGCAUUCAAGGAAAGAUUAAAAGGAGUAAAAGGAACUCGGCAAA
rnacentral:rRNA from 1 species